AAUCGCCGCCCUGAAAAAACAGGACUUUGCGUCGCCAGCUGGCCAGCUCUAAUUCGUCGGUGUUCAACGGUGGUUCCCGGAAAGAUCAACGAUUUGAAACCAACCUAGAAAGCAAAAAAGACUGCUCUUUUAAAUCAAAAACCAAAAUAACCGGAAAGGCGUACCAGAAACCGGAAUCACUGGACUAUAUAAAACCGUUUUGUACCGGAUCUUAAAAACAAUAAUUGCAAUAUAAACCCUGUAUUAUUAUUUUAUUACUUAUUUUACCCCAAGUGUUUUCUCCUACACCAU